rnacentral:rRNA from 1 species
UACAGAGGUCUCAAGCGUUGUUCGGAUUCAUUGGGCGUAAAGGGUGCGCAGGCGGCGCGGUAAGUCGGGUGUGAAAUCUUGGAGCUUAACUCCGAAACUGCAUUCGAUACUGCCGUGCUUGAGGACUGGAGAGGAGACUGGAAUUUACGGUGUAGCGGUGAAAUGCGCAGAUAUCGUAAGGAAGACCAGUGGCGAAGGCGGGUCUCUGGACAGUUCCUGACGCUGAGGCACGAAGGUCAGGGGAGCAAACGGG